UCGUUGAUCGACAGUUUAGGGGUCGGCGCAAGCCGGCCCCAACAUGGUCUAGGGGUAUAGCUCAACUGGCAGAGCGUCGGUCUCCAAAACCGAAGGUUGGGGGUUCAAUUCCCUCUGCCCCUGCCAC
rnacentral:tRNA from 1 species